UCUUUUGCUGAAAUAAGAAGAAACCCGUAUGUGUUCCUCCCCAAAUACAUCAAACCUUCAAAUUGUCAUAUCUCUCUCGUUUCUUAACGGAAUUGAGCGAUUCUCGCGGCCACGGAACGAGAAAAGGAUUCUCUACUGGAUUAUGAAUUCAAUUUGAGAUGAUAUUGAGCUUGUGAGAAGGAUUCUCAUAAUGAUUUGGAGGCUAAUAUCAAUAGGCUUUGAGGAACCAUCAAGGGUUCGACAAGGCAACCUAAUAGCUGACAAGAAGCUCAGGGAGCUAAGCUAUAACUAACGAGAAUUUUGGAUAAGCAAGAAGUGAGUAUAUUUUACUUACUCGCAUUAUCGUAUUAAAAAUUAUGUUAUUUACUAUAUGAAUAGUACUUGAAUGCAUCGCAAAUGUGUAUUGUUUGGAUUGUUGGAUUGGAUGGUUUUGGAUUGAAUUGUUUGGAUUGUUUGUAUAUGGAUUGGAUUGGUUGUUUUGUAUAUGGGUUGAUUUGUAUUGUUUGACUUGGAUUGUUUGUA